rnacentral:pre_miRNA from 1 species
GCCAAGGUGACGCCUUUAUCUGCAUUUGCACCUGCACCUUAUCGUAUUGUGUUUGUUUGGGUUUCAUCUCUGCCUUGAACUUGCUCAAAAAGGGUAUAUACUGGGAGAGAUGAUGGUGAGGAAUAGGUGCAGGUGAAGGUGCAGAUGAAUGCCACUUUGGC